rnacentral:rRNA from 1 species
ACGGGUGAGUAACGCGUGGGAACGUGCCCUAAGGUACGGAACAACUGAGGGAAACUUCAGCUAAUACCGUAUGUGCCCUUCGGGGGAAAGAUUUAUCGCCUUAGGAGCGGCCCGCGUUGGAUUAGCUAGUUGGUGGGGUAAUGGCCCACCAAGGCUACGAUCCAUAGCUGGUCUGAGAGGAUGAUCAGCCACACUGGGACUGAGACACGGCCCAGACUCCUACGGGAGGCAGCAGUAGGGAAUCUUGCGCAAUGGGCGAAAGCCUGACGCAGCCAUGCCGCGUGAAUGAUGAAGGUCUUAGGAUUGCAAAAUUCUUUCACCGGGGAAGAUAAUGACGGUACCCGGAGAAGAAGCCCCGGCUAACUUCGUGCCAGCAGCCGCGGUAAUACGAAGGGGGCUAGCGUUGCUCGGAAUUACUGGGCGUAAAGGGCGCGUAGGCGGACAGUUUAGUCAGAGGUGAAAGCCCAGGGCUCAACCCUGGAAUUGCCUUUGAUACUGGCUGUCUUGAGUUCGGGAGAGGUGAGUGGAAUGCCGAGUGUAGAGGUGAAAUUCGUAGA